rnacentral:rRNA from 1 species
UACGGAGGGUCCAAGCGUUAUCCAGAAUCAUUGGGUUUAAAGGGUGCGUAGGCGGCCUUGUAAGUCAGGGGUGAAAGACGGUAGCUCAACUAUCGCAGUGCCUUUGAUACUGCAGGGCUUGAAUGUACUUGAGGUAGGCGGAAUGUGACAAGUAGCGGUGAAAUGCAUAGAUAUGUCACAGAACACCAAUUGCGGAGGCAGCUUACUAAAGUAUGAUUGACGCUGAGGCACGAAAGCGUGGGGAUCAAACAGG